rnacentral:lncRNA from 1 species
GUUUUUGAAACAAGAAAUAUCAUAUAUUGUUGGUGCGUGUAAAAUUGAUUUCGAAAUAUAUUAUUUUAUUAUUUUUGUUAUUAUGUAGUUUAAAAAGAUGCAAACCUCACCUUAUCUGAUCACCAGCAUGGCUAACGGAAUUCCUCCCACAUGCAUUGUGAGGUGACACGUCCAGGUAUUCAAGCGAUUUCCUGUCGGGCUUUUAAACUCUUAUUACACAAUAACAUAAAGCGAUUUCGUGUAUCACAUUACUUCUGAGGAUAUUGAUCAGUGUACACGACAGGUAACCCGUAACUUUCCAUUUUGAAAAUACAUUUUGAUUGCGUGUCCGAUAGUGAUAUUCUAAUCAUUAUCAAACUCAUACGCUUGUUUAUAAAUAACAGUUCUGGCGUAAAGAUUGAUAUGUAUGAAGAUCUAAAUAAUUCCAAAAACACAAUUUACGCACUUGUCGAUAAUUGGUUAAUACGCCUAGAUUGAAAGUUACGGAGCUAUAGGUAGUCGCAAUUUAGAAUAUAUACAUGUACAUACAUGUAUAUACCAUAUUCAAGAGAACCAACCAGAACAAAUCUGAUUUAGAUACAUCGAACUUGCAUUGGUUCAUCAAAGUAAUUGACAAAAUUAAAUCGCAAAUUUAUAUUUCAAUUAGAUUAUUUCUAACAGAAGAAAUUCGUCAUCAACA